AUGGUACUGGAGAAGGACUGCGC
rnacentral:piRNA from 1 species